UGGAAAUCAACAGAGCCAUUUACUAUAAA
rnacentral:piRNA from 1 species